rnacentral:rRNA from 1 species
GUAGUCCACGCCGUAAACGAUGAGUGCUAGGUGUUGGGGGGUACCACCCUCAGUGCCGAAGCUAACGCAUUAAGCACUCCGCCUGGGGAGUACGGUCGCAAGACUGAAACUCAAAGGAAUUGACGGGGGCCCGCACAAGCAGUGGAGCAUGUGGUUUAAUUCGAAGCAACGCGAAGAACCUUACCAAGACUUGACAUCCCGCUGACCGCUCUAGAGAUAGAGUUUCCCUUCGGGGCAGCGGUGACAGGUGGUGCAUGGUUGUCGUCAGCUCGUGUCGUGAGAUGUUGGGUUAAGUCCCGCAACGAGCGCAACCCCUAUGUUGUGUUGCCAUCAUUUAGUUGGGCACUUACAACAGACUGCCGGUGACAAACCGGAGGAAGGCGGGGAUGACGUCAAAUCAUCAUGCCCCUUAUGUCUUGGGCUACACACGUGCUACAAUGGGCGGUACAAAGAGAAGCGAGACCGCGAGGUGGAGCCAAUCUCAUAAAGCCGUUCGUAGUUCGGAUUGCAGGCUGCAACUCGCCUGCAUGAAGCCGGAAUUGCUAGUAAUCGCGGAUCAGCAUGCCGCGGUGAAUA